AGUAAAUUGGCUGAAAUAUAAGCAAUAAAUUGUAAAUUUAUUUAUAAGAGAUAUCUCUUAUUUACUA
rnacentral:tRNA from 1 species